GGAGUGGACCAGGCAGUCGCUUGGGCGGCCUCGGUCGCGCAAGAGGAAAGUCCGGGCACCGCAGGACAGGGUGGUGGGUAACGCCCACCGGCCGCGAGGCCAGGGAAAGUGCAGCAGAAAGUAGACCGCCUCGCGCUUCACCGCGCGAGGUAAGGGUGAAACGGUGCGGUAAGAGCGCACCAGCAGAACGGGUGACCGUUCUGGCUAGGUAAACCCCACCCGGUGCAAGGCCAAAUAGGAAGCAAGCCGUCAGGCUGCGAGUCGGUCCGACUCGUUACGACUUCCGGGUAGGCUGCUCGAGGCGGUGAGUAAUUGCCGUCCUAGAGAAAUGGCUGUCCGUGGCAUGGUCCGCCAUGCCGAGACAAAACCCGGCUUAUCGGUCCACUCCGCCU
rnacentral:RNase_P_RNA from 1 species